rnacentral:rRNA from 1 species
CCUACGGGAGGCAGCAGUGAGGAAUAUUGGUCAAUGGGCGCGAGCCUGAACCAGCCAAGUCGCGUGAAGGAUGACGGCCCUACGGGUUGUAAACUUCUUUUAUAAGGGAAUAAAGUGAGGCACGUGUGCCGUUUUGUAUGUACUUUAUGAAUAAGGAUCGGCUAACUCCGUGCCAGCAGCCGCGGUAAUACGGAGGAUCCGAGCGUUAUCCGGAUUUAUUGGGUUUAAAGGGAGCGUAGGUGGGUUUUUAAGUCAGUUGUGAAAGUUUGCGGCUCAACCGUAAAAUUGCAAUUGAUACUGGGAGUCUUGAGUAUAGUUGAGGUAGGCGGAAUGCGUGGUGUAGCGGUGAAAUGCUUAGAUAUCACGAAGAACUCCGAUUGCGAAGGCAGCUUACUAAACCGUCACUGACACUGAUGCUCGAAAGUGUGGGGAUCAAACAGGAUUAGAUACCCCUGUAGUC